rnacentral:rRNA from 1 species
UACGAAGGGGGCUAGCGUUGUUCGGAAUUACUGGGCGUAAAGGGCGCGUAGGCGGUGUGUCAAGUCAGGCGUGAAAGCCCCGGGCUCAACCUGGGAACCGCGCUUGAGACUGGCACGCUCGAGUUCGGGAGAGGAUGGUGGAAUUCCCAGUGUAGAGGUGAAAUUCGUAGAUAUUGGGAAGAACACCGAUGGCGAAGGCAGCCAUCUGGACCGACACUGACGCUGAGGCGCGAAAAGCGUGGGGAGCAAACAGGG